rnacentral:rRNA from 1 species
AUAGGGAAGAAGCUCUUCGGGGUGACGGUACCUGCAGAAGAAGCGCCGGCUAACUACGUGCCAGCAGCCGCGGUAAUACGUAGGGCGCAAGCGUUGUCCGGAAUUAUUGGGCGUAAAGAGCUCGUAGGCGGUCUGUCGCGUCUGCUGUGAAAACGCGGGGCUCAACCCCGCGCCUGCAGUGGGUACGGGCAGACUAGAGUGCGGUAGGGGAGACUGGAAUUCCUGGUGUAGCGGUGGAAUGCGCAGAUAUCAGGAGGAACACCGGUGGCGAAGGCGGGUCUCUGGGCCGUUACUGACGCUGAGGAGCGAAAGCAUGGGGAGCGAACAGGAUUAGAUACCCUGGUAGUCCAUGCCGUAAACGUUGGGCACUAGGUGUGGGACCCAUUCCACGGGUUCCGUGCCGCAGCUAACGCAUUAAGUGCCCCGCCUGGGGAGUACGGCCGCAAGGCUAAAACUCAAAGGAAUUGACGGGGGCCCGCACAAGCGGCGGAGCAUGCGGAUUAAUUCUAUGCAACGCGAAGAACCUUACCAAGGCUUGACAUACACCGGAAACGUCCAGAGAUGGGCGCCCCGCAAGGUCGGUGUACAGGUGGUGCAUGGUUGUCGUCAGCACGUGUCGU